AAUUCUUUUUAAUUAUGACUAAAAGCAGAAAUAAAUUACUUGAAACAGCAUUUCCUUUCUAGAAGGUGGUUAAUGUGUGAAUCAUUUUUUUCAGACAUGCCUGUCAGCAUUUCCACCAAACUAUGGGCCAACUCGACAUACAGAACAAAGAAUAAUGAUCAAUAUAGGAGAAAGCACACAAAACCCCUUCUUGUCUUACGUGUUCUCUGAGAUGCUGCUAUAGAAAUCUGAGAAUGUGUAGCAUGUGCUCAAGACUCCAUGUUUCUGGUGCUGCCCACAAUAUAGUAACAGACAUUUUGAUUCCUUUUUUGCUUUUUCUCAUCUGCUGACUUAGUGAGCACUCUGCAUCUUGAGCUGUAGC